GACGAACGCUGGCGGCGUGCUUAACACAUGCAAGUCGAACGGAAAGGCCCUGCUUUUGUGGGGUGCUCGAGUGGCGAACGGGUGAGUAACACGUGAGUAACCUGCCCUUGACUUUGGGAUAACUUCAGGAAACUGGGGCUAAUACCGGAUAGGAGCUCCUGCUGCAUGGUGGGGGUUGGAAAGUUUCGGCGGUUGGGGAUGGACUCGCGGCUUAUCAGCUUGUUGGUGGGGUAGUGGCUUACCAAGGCUUUGACGGGUAGCCGGCCUGAGAGGGUGACCGGCCACAUUGGGACUGAGAUACGGCGCAGACUCCUACGGGAGGCAGCAGUGGGGAAUAUGGCACAAUGGGCGGAAGCCUGAUGCGGCAACGCCGCGUGCGGGAUGACGGCCUUCGGGUUGUAAACCGCUUUCGCCUGUGACGAAGCGUGAGUGACGGUAAUGGGUAAAGAAGCACCGGCUAACUACGUG
rnacentral:rRNA from 1 species